UAUGGCGGAAACAUUGACCGCCGUCGGUUCGUCUUAAUUUUUAAAACGUUCGAUUUAGUGGAUUUUCGUGUUUUAUUUUGUGAAAGUGAUUUAUUUCAUAUUUUCAAUAUAGGAAACACUACUAAAGUUUAAAAAGGCAGCCUUGGGGGCUCACACAAAUUAAUUGAAAAAUAAAAAUGUCAAAACGAGCAUUUGAUAACCCACCGUUAGAUGACUCUGACUUUGCUGAUGAUGAGGAUCCGGACAACUUGGAAGUACCAGAUAAAUUAAAGUUCUUUUCAAGCCAAAACCCCUUAUACAGUGAUUGGAGGUGGAAAAACUUUGGCUGCGGCAGCGCGCAUUGUAGACAAGAAGCCAACUCCACCAGUCAUCAUCAGACCUACCACUAAUCCCCUUGCUGCGCCAUCUGGAUUGGCUUUUGGUCAGGCGCGAAUGUAACUGAACCCAUAAGGAUACCUGCUAACUCUCUCACUAAACCCAUAAGUCUGGGACUUGGAAGCAACCAAAUAUAUAUUGCUCUAAAUUAUCUUAAUAUUUGAAUUGAUUCUGAUGUUUUUGUUAAGAACAAUAAAACAAAUUCUCUUAUGUAUACAACAGAAAGAUCAACACUCAAAUAUAUACAUGCUAAGCUGCAGGCAAAAGCAACUAUAAAAUAUUAAAACCUUUCAAUCAUCAAGUAUACAUUACAUACUCUGAAAACAUCUCGCUAAUAUUGGAAAAAAAUUCUCAUGAGCUGUAAUUAUGCUGCGGGGAUGCCCGGUACGUCCACCUUCAAUGCGGCCUCGUUGCUCGCACAGACGGGGUGGGAGCUAUGGAGAUAGUGGCUAUGGACAUGAAAAUGAGUGGAAUGUAUAUUCAAGAUUGAGGAGGUUCCGCUUUACGAGUCUUUCAAGGAAACAUAUGAUAAGGCUGUGGCGUUGAUUUGGUACUGAACCUGAACCGUCUACAAGCACUACGCUUGGUAGACCGGCUUUUGAGGACGAUGGGCCCUUGGAGCAUCGUCAUCUCUUUAAAGAUGAAGUUCUCAAAAUGUGGAAUUUAACUAAAGUAAAUUAAACUUUAGGCAAUAAUGAGCAGUGUGUGGCAUUCGCUGAAGAACAUGGAUUAGUGCAUUCUCAAAAGCAAUGUAGAAGACAUCGUGUACCCAUGAAAAUAAUUAAAUCGACGAAUAAAACAUUUGGUACAUGGUGCAAAAGGAAAUUGCAAAUCAAAAUCAAGAGUAUCUAGAAAUAAAGGAACAUUUUUCGAUAACAUUAAAUUAGACUUAGUACAUGUCUUCUAUUUACUAUAUGCAUAUUCACAAAAUUGGAGAUAUUAUACAACUAUUAAUGAAGAUAUAUAUAAAGAAGAUAGACAACAAUGCUUAAGUCGAGGCACUAUUAAUGAUUGGUUUAAUGAUUGUAGAGAAACUAUAGUUAUUUACCAAAUGGACAAAAAUCAAGUUAUAGGAAAGAUUGGUGGCCCAGGGAAGAUUGUGCAGAUAGACGAAUCAAAAUUUAGGAAACGAAAAUACAACCGAGG